rnacentral:rRNA from 1 species
AUAAAUUAAGUUUAAUAUAUUUAAGUAGUAUUAGUUAAGUUCUUGAAAUUUAAAAAAUUUGGCGGUAUUUUAGUCUAUUCAGAGGAACCUGUUUUGUAAUCGAUAAUCCACGUUGUACCUUUCUUAAAUUUGUUUUAAUAGUUUAUAUAUCGUUGUUUUUAGAAUAUUUUAUAAAAAUAAUAAUUUUCUUAAUUUAUUAGAUUAAAAUAUAUCAGAUCAAGAUGUAGCUUAUGUUUAAGGUUAUAAUGGGUUACAUUAAUAUUAAUUAUGAAUAUUAAUUUGAAAUUAAUUAAUUGAAAUUGGAUUUGAUAGUAAAUUUAUAUAGAUUGUUAAAUUGAUUUUAGCUCUAAAAUAUG